AAUCCAUAGGUUAAUGAGGCGAACCGGGGGAACUGAAACAUCUAAGUACCCCGAGGAAAAGAAAUCAACCGAGAUUCCCCCAGUAGCGGCGAGCGAACGGGGAGGAGCCCAGAGCCUGAAUCAGCAUGUGUGUUAGUGGAAGCGUCUGGAAAGGCGCGCGAUACAGGGUGACAGCCCCGUACACAAAAGCGCAUGUGCUGUGAGCUCGAUGAGUAGGGCGGGACACGUGGUAUCCUGUCUGAAUAUGGGGGGACCAUCCUCCAAGGCUAAAUACUCCUGACUGACCGAUAGUGAACCAGUACCGUGAGGGAAAGGCGAAAAGAACCCCGGCGAGGGGAGUGAAAAAGAACCUGAAACCGUGUACGUACAAGCAGUGGGAGCACCCUUUGGGUGUGACUGCGUACCUUUUGUAUAAUGGGUCAGCGACUUAUAUUCUGUAGCAAGGUUAACCGAAUAGGGGAGCCGGAGGGAAACCGAGUCUUAACCGGGCGUUAAGUUGCAGGGUAUAGACCCGAAACCCGGUGAUCUAGCCAUGGGCAGGUUGAAGGUUGGGUAACACUAACUGGAGGACCGAACCGACUAAUGUUGAAAAAUUAGCGGAUGACCUGUGGCUGGGGGUGAAAGGCCAAUCAAACCGGGAGAUAGCUGGUUCUCCCCGAAAGCUAUUUAGGUAGCGCCUCGUGAAUUCAUCUCCGGGGGUAGAGCACUGUUUCGGCUAGGGGGCCAUCCCGGCUUACCAACCCGAUGCAAACUGCGAAUACCGGAGAAUGUUAUCACGGGAGACACACGGCGGGUGCUAACGUCCGUCGUGAAGAGGGAAACAACCCAGACCGCCAGCUAAGGUCCCAAAGUCAUGGUUAAGUGGGAAACGAUGUGGGAAGGCCCAGACAGCCAGGAUGUUGGCUUAGAAGCAGCCAUCAUUUAAAGAAAGCGUAAUAGCUCACUGGUCGAGUCGGCCUGCGCGGA
rnacentral:rRNA from 1 species